GCUAUGACGUUGGUGCCGCCGUUGGUGCCGUGAGACUCGUGUCUUCGCCGCCGUCGCCGUCGCCGCGUGCUUGCCGUCGCUGGACCUCCCUCGAAGAUCGAUCUGGCUACAAACGAUUCGAUGGCGAAGUGCCAGUGGCCGAGCUUCGCGAACCUCGCUUGUGGCUUGAUGAAUCGGAUGGCAUGUCGCCCUAAUCCUUAAAGUAAAUGAUCUCUUGGGGUGCUUGAUGUUUAGGUAUGGACCCUUUGGAGAGGAGGUUUCGAGAGUGCUAGGCGGUGGUCUUGUGCCAGGUUCCUUAAUUUUGGUGGGAGGUGAUCCUGGUGUUGGCAAGAGUACCCUGUUGCUGCAGAUGGCUGCAAUGAUUGCUGAAGGGCAUGAUCUUGGGAGAUCGGCUCCAGUAGUAUGUCUCUAGGGAAGAGCCAGAGGUAAAUGGAUUUUUCAUGCUAGCCUUCUGCUGGUCUUUGCUGUCAUGCAUAUUCAUUCUUGUUACCAGAUCAAAUUUGUUAUUGCUUUCGGACAAUUUUUCUUGUUUGUAAACAUAGGCUCUUGUGCAUUUUCUGUCUUAGGAUUUCUCUGGCUUGUAUCUUAAGAAUUAGCCACGAGACAAUUUUACUCAAGGAGUCUUGAUAGAAAUGAGGAUAUAGAUUUUCUCUGAUAGGCAUGUGCUGUAUGUGUUGCUUAUCUUUUUUUCUAGCCAACCUGUAUGUAUCGUUGUCAUAUGACACUCAGAAUCUACCUUUUCCCCUUAUGAGGAAUCUCUUUGAUUUUGUAUUAGAGUGUGGAGCAAAUUGGAAGUAGAGCUGACCGUCUAAAUGUAAAAGAUUUACAUUGCUGUGUAUUGGCAGGUACCGAAAAUGGAGGGCCAAUAUUGAAUUAUUUCGGCUUUUGGAUUUUCGCGCUCACUACGAAAAUGAAACCAAAAAACAAAAAAAAACCUGUUGGAACUUGGAACCGACCCCGGAACCUGUGAUAGGGUAGGUUCCAGGUUCUCGGU